AGGCCUGAUCCAGCCAUGCCGCGUGCAGUGAUGAAGGCCUUCGGGUUGUAAACUGCUUUUGUACGGAACGAAAAAGCUUCUCCUAAUACCAGAGGCCCAUGACGGUACCGUAAGAAUAAGCACCGGCUAACUACGUGCCAGCAGCCGCGGUAAUACGUAGGGUGCGAGCGUUAAUCGGAAUUACUGGGCGUAAAGCGUGCGCAGGCGGUUAUGUAAGACAGAUGUGAAAUCCCCGGGCUCAACCUGGGAACUGCAUUUGUGACUGCAUGGCUAGAGUACGGUAGAGGGGGAUGGAAUUCCGCGUGUAGCAGUGAAAUGCGUAGAUAUGCGGAGGAACACCGAUGGCGAAGGCAAUCCCCUGGACCUGUACUGACGCUCAUGCACGAAAGCGUGGGGAGCAAACAGGAUUAGAUACCCUGGUAGUCCACGCCCUAAACGAUGUCAACUGGUUGUUGGGAAUUAUUUUUCUCAGUAACGAAGCUAACGCGUGAAGUUGACCGCCUGGGGAGUACGGCCGCAAGGUUAAACCUCAAAGAAGUUUUUGCGGGGG
rnacentral:rRNA from 1 species